ACAAGUAGUCAGAGCCCGUUAAUGGGUGAUGGCGUGCCUUUUGUAGAAUGAACCGGCGAGUUACGAUUUGAUGCAAGGUUAAGCAGUAAAUGUGGAGCCGUAGCGAAAGCGAGUCUGAAUAGGGCGUUUAGUAUUUGGUCGUAGACCCGAAACCAGGUGAUCUACCCUUGGUCAGGUUGAAGUUCAGGUAACACUGAAUGGAGGACCGAACCGACUUACGUUGAAAAGUGAGCGGAUGAACUGAGGGUAGCGGAGAAAUUCCA
rnacentral:rRNA from 1 species